UACGUAGGGCGCAAGCGUUGUCCGGAAUUAUUGGGCGUAAAGAGCUCGUAGGCGGUUUGUCGCGUCUGUCGUGAAAGCUUGGGGCUUAACCCCAAGUCUGCGGUGGAUACGGGCAGACUAGAGGCAGGUAGGGGAGAACGGAAUUCCCGGUGUAGCGGUGAAAUGCGCAGAUAUCGGGAGGAACACCCGUGGCGAAGGCGGCUCUCUGGGACGGUACUGACGCUGAGACGCGAAAGCGUGGGGAGCGAACAGG
rnacentral:rRNA from 1 species